GAUGAACGCUGGCGGCGUGCUUAACACAUGCAAGUCGAACGGUGAAGGCGGAGCUUGCUCUGCUGGAUCAGUGGCGAACGGGUGAGUAACACGUGAGCAAUCUGCCCCUGACUCUGGGAUAAGCGCUGGAAAUGGCGUCUAAUACUGGAUACGAGCUGCGAAGGCAUCUUCAGCAGCUGGAAAGAACUUCGGUCAGGGAUGAGCUCGCGGCCUAUCAGCUUGUUGGUGAGGUAACGGCUCACCAAGGCGUCGACGGGUAGCCGGCCUGAGAGGGUGACCGGCCACACUGGGACUGAGACACGGCCCAGACUCCUACGGGAGGCAGCAGUGGGGAAUAUUGCACAAUGGGCGAAAGCCUGAUGCAGCAACGCCGCGUGAGGGACGACGGCCUUCGGGUUGUAAACCUCUUUUAGCAGGGAAGAAGCGAAAGUGACGGUACCUGCAGAAAAAGCGCCGGCUAACUACGUG
rnacentral:rRNA from 1 species